rnacentral:lncRNA from 1 species
UUAGAGCUAGGGUUUUAGAAAACCCAGAAGAAGUGAGAAAGACUUUGAAAGUUAACGAUCUAACCAGAAAAAGUUAAGGAUCUGCCUUAAAAGGCUAUGAAUGGUCAGAGAAAGGUCAUGGAUGGCCGAAGAGAGGCCAUGAACAAUAGUCAAGAAAGGAUUGGACCAGAUCCCUUCGAGGUCUGGCCAUGAAACCACAUAAACAAACAUCCUAGAGCCAUAAGAGGCCGAUACACAUCCCAAAUAACGACGAGAGGCCAUGGAUUAGGUAGGGAUUAAGGCGGAUUAGGGUGGAAUUAGAUGGCGGAGGCUAGGGUUCAUAAGGGGUUGCAGAGAGAAUUGAGAGGGAAGGGGAUUCAGGGGCAGCGUUUG